rnacentral:piRNA from 1 species
UGCAAGGAUCUUGGACACGCAAGGGUGU